GCAGCUGGGAUGAAGAAUUAACUCUCCCGGCCCCAGGGGCUUUCCAAAACACCAACAGCAUGGUGGGGGUGCAGGAGCAGAUCCUGCUUCCCCCCCUGCCCUGUGGUGAUCCACCAGAGAAAACAGACGUGCAUCAGGAUGGAUGCAUUCUCUCCUACCCCCCCCCCCCAAAAAAAAAGGGGAUGGAUUUUGAAUAGGUUUCAUGCUGGUGGAACAAGCUCCUUGGAAAUCCCAGGAGAUGGGAUUUUUUUUUCCACCCCUUGGGGUAGCAUUUGGCAUUUCUAGAAGUGCAUCCUACCCCCGGAGGGAUUCCUCCCGUUCCAGAGCAGAGGGUACAGUCCUGACACCCAUGCAGCCUUGUUUACAUAGAAAAGUGAAGAUGGAUAAACUACAGGUGUCAAGUCCUGAAAGUUUGAGGGGGUUGCCUGGUUUUCCUCCAGCAACCCAGGAUGCCCAACACAAGUGUUACCUGUCCUGACAAACGCUGCCCUGCCCGUGGCCUGAAACCAGCCCAGCAGCCACAACAAUGCUACUGCUGCUCAGAAAGCACAGCCUGCCUUCCUGCAGAUGAUCUCAUUCAGAAAUAAAUCUCUGUUCCACACAAGGGCUAGAUUUAGCUACAGCAAAACAUGACCACUUUUAGAAUA